GGAAUAGUCAUUUAUAAAUAAGAGAUACUGAUGGACUAAAAACUGCACACCUGGUGAUGACAAAGAAUAACCAAAAGAAAUCCUUGUUUCAGGUGAACGGAAAAGCAGCAUGAUUCAUACAAAAUGAAGUGAGAUUGAAGUUUAUCGCAAGAGAUAAUGUAAGCAAAGCAAACACAGGAGAAAACAAGGGAAUAAAUCAGUACUCUGUUAACUUUAAUGGGCUCAAGCUAAUUCACACUGACUAAGGAUACGAUCAUGGA
rnacentral:lncRNA from 1 species